AACGCUAGCUACAGGCUUAACACAUGCAAGUCGAGGGGCAGCAUAAAAGUAGCAAUACUUUGGUGGCGACCGGCGCACGGGUGAGUAACGCGUAUGCAACCUACCUAUCAGAGGGGGAUAACCCGGCGAAAGUCGGACUAAUACCGCAUAAAACAGGGGCACCGCAUGGUGCUAUUUGUUAAAAAUUUAUUGCUGAUAGAUGGGCAUGCGUUCCAUUAGGUAGUUGGGGAGGUAACGGCUCACCAAGCCUACGAUGGAUAGGGGAACUGAGAGGUUGGUCCCCCACACUGGUACUGAGACACGGACCAGACUCCUACGGGAGGCAGCAGUGAGGAAUAUUGGUCAAUGGGCGAGAGCCUGAACCAGCCAAGUCGCGUGAAGGAAGAAGGAUCUAUGGUUCGUAAACUUCUUUUGCAGGGGAAUAAAGUGCAGGACGUGUCCUGUUUUGUAUGUACCCUGAGAAUAAGGAUCGGCUAACUCCGUGCCAGCAGCCGCGGUAAUACGGAGGAUCCGAGCGUUAUCCGGAUUUAUUGGGUUUAAAGGGUGCGUAGGUGGUUUAAUAAGUCAGCGGUGAAAGUUUGCAGCUUAACUGUAAAAAUGCCGUUGAAACUGUUAGACUUGAGUGUAAAUGAGGUAGGCGGAAUGCGUGGUGUAGCGGUGAAAUGCUUAGAUAUCACGAAGAACUCCGAUUG
rnacentral:rRNA from 1 species